UAUCUCUGUAGAGUCUGCAUAUCAAUAAGCGGAGGAAAAGAAACUAACAAGGAUUCCCCUAGUAACGGCGAGUGAAGCGGGAAGAGCUCAAAUUUGAAAUCUUAAAGGGUUUCCCUUUACGAAUUGUAGUUUAAAGAAGUGUUUUCUGUUGGAGUUUCGGUAAAAGUUCUUUGGAAUAGGACAUCAUAGAGGGUGAGAAUCCCGUAUUUGACCGUUACUUUCCAGCUGUGUGAUACACUUUCAAAGAGUCGGAUUGUUUGGGAAUGCAGUCCAAAAUGGGUGGUAAAUUUCAUCUAAAGCUAAAUAUUGGCGAGAGACCGAUAGCGAACAAGUACCGUGAGGGAAAGAUGAAGAGAACUUUGAAAAGAGAGUUAAACAGUACGUGAAAUUGUCAAAAGGGAAGCGUUUGACACCAGUGUUGUUUUCUCGAAAAUCAAUUAAAAAUGGCGGGAUUUUGUGUUGUAUUGACUUUAUCAGCUUUCUGCACUUUUUUCCUGUCUUUUUUAAUGCACUUUUCGUUUAACAAGUCAACAUCAAUUUCUUUUGUUGUAAAAGGGUCAUUGGAAGGUGGCUUUCUUUUCGGAGAAAGUGUUUAUAGCCUUUGACUUCUGCAAUCGGAGAGAUUGAGGUCUGCAGCGUAGAUCCUUCGGGGUUAGAUGCAUUUGUGCUAAGCUAUAGCCUUUCAUAGACAACUUGUUGACUAUGAUCAGUCAUGUAGCUUACUCGCUUAUGCUAUUUUACCUACGCUUAGGAUGUUGAUGUGAUACUGCGAGCC
rnacentral:rRNA from 1 species